UCUCAAUCUAUAAACAAGUGGUGAACAAUGGUAAUAAAGAGUUCAGAAAUAUGUGAUACUAAAGAAGACAAUGAUGGUGAAGACGAGAGGUUGAGGCUAUACGAUUCAACCACAUAUUGGAUAAGUAAUUCACCAAAAAAAGCUUCUGAUCAACCCUCCUAGAAAACCUAGGGUGAAGAAAGGUAGAAGAAAAUUGUCAUUAAGAAGGUAGAGAGCAUGCCGAUAACGACGAUGAUGCGGCCAGUCAAAAGACAGGUUGAGGGGAGAAGUGAUGAAGAACAAAACAAGGAGAUGGAAAAAAUACAUGAAAAGCUGUGAAAUACUAGUGUAAUUGUUAGGUGUAUAAUUUGUAUGUGUAUGACUACAAAAGAAUAUUUUACAUCUCAUUGUAAAAUCAAAUUCAAGAAUUAAUAAAAAUAAUUUAAACUUAAUUUCUCCA